UCCUCGGGGCGGCCUCCCCGGGAGCGCGCGGGAAGGGGACGGUCCUGCGCAGAGCCCCCCCGCAGGUUGGUACGGCCCGCCCCCCCCCCCCCCCCCGCCGCUGAUCUGGCAGGCUGCGCGCGCACCCCCCGGCCCGGUUCCCUCCUCCCGCUCCUCGCGUGCAGCUCGCUGGCCCCGCGCCCGCCGGGGACGCGCCGCGCGCCUGGGCGGAGAGGAGCGCGGCCGCGGGGGCGCGCCCCGCUGGCUCCGCCCCCCCCGCUCCCCUCCCCCGAGUCCCGGGUGCCCGGCUCGCGCGGCUUGGUGCGCGGAGAGCGGGGACCCGGCGCCAGCCCGCCCGCCCGCCCGGCCCUGCGUCCCCGCCCCGGCGUGCGAGGCGCCGCGCGCUCCUGCCGCCCCGCUCGGUGCAUGGAGGGCCCCGCUCGGAUCGCAGCCGCCGCCGCCGCAGCCGCCGCCCGCGCGCGGGGCAUGACCUGGGGGUGGCUCUGGGAGCCGGCCGCCGCGCAGGAGUGAGCCAAAGCCCGGAAGUCUGUCCUGCCUGCUUCUGUAAUCUGGCGCUAUGCAUCCAGAUCCUCGGCCCUUACAGACACUGCUGUAUGUUGUUACACUUACGGUUCUAUGCCCUUCUGUGAAUUCAGACUUGGCACCUUAUUUUAUUUCUGAGCCACUAUCCGCUGUCGCAGAAACUUGGUGGACCUGUAGUACUACAUUGUUCUGCUAAACCUGUGAGCGCUCACAUCUCAUGGUUGCAUAAUGGAAAAAGAUUGGAUAGAAACAUGGAACAGAUUAAGAUUCAUCAGGGGACUUUGACUAUUCUGUCUCUUAAUCCCUCCCUUUCGGGUUCCUACCAGUGCGUUGCCAACAAUAGCAUCGGUGCAAUUGUGAGCAGCCCUGCAACAGUAUCCACUGCUGGUGAGUUUAAUUUUGUCCCUAAUAUCUAUGCUUUUUUCCUAGAAUUACUGUUAGUACUUGCAUUUUUGACUAGAAGGAAGAAUGUGG
rnacentral:lncRNA from 1 species